GAGCCAGGCUAAUAUAUGCUAAGAUAUGCUAAUGCAAGGCGCGCCCGCCGCCUCCUUAAAGGGACCACGCCGGGGACGCGGGAAUCCCCGCCCGGCAGCCCCUCCGCGGCCUGCGGGACUCGGCAGAGCAGGAAGCGGACGGGGCAAGCCCAUCGGGAGAAAAUCCUGGAUUUUUUGCUGGUUCUUCAAGGAGGCGGGGGGAGCAGCAGUAGGAAGCACAAGUUGGGACCCUGCAGAAGAUCCACCUGGAUGCCCACCCAGCAAGGGAUCCUGGUGGCCUGAGACCCUGCAGACUGCAGACAUGGUGCAUGCUGGGAUUGCAUCGUCGGCAGCUCCACGGACGCUGGGGCCCGAAUCACCCAGGAGCCGGGUGAGACCACGACCUCCCGGCCUCGUCACGGAGGCCUUGGCCUUUCCUCCCGAGGACCUGGCCUCCUGCACCCCUCCUUUUCCAGAGGAUGAAAAUGUCCUGUAAUACCCAGUGGCUGCGCAGCUGUGAAUAUAUUGAAACUUAAAAAACAAUGUAUUUGAGAAGUGGAGAGAAACAGAGACAGAGUGACAUUUUCCACCUGCUGUUUCACUCCCCCAGAUGUCUGUGAGGGCCAGGGCUGGGCUGGGCGGAAGCCAGGAGCCAGGAUCUCCAUCCAAGCCUCGCGUGGCAGCAGCCCCUGGCUCCCCUGGGCACUGACCCGGCCCCGCUGGGUUCAUCAGGAGCCGCCCAUCCCCUUUCCUGGAACUCAAAGAAGCAGCAGAAACGAUGGGAUGCGCUCGGCUUGUUGGCUUCUCUACUGCUUGGCAGCUGCUGACGGCCACUCCCGCUCUGGGGACCUUUGCAGUGACCUGGCCCCUGGCCAUCCCUCCACUGCCCGGCAGCGAGCCAAAGGCCCCAACUGGUGCGACGUUUACUGCAGGGGCUGAGCCCAAAGACCCAAAAGAGGAGGGAGGAGCCUGCUGCCGCCGUGCUCCGUCAGCUCCUCAGGGAGGAGGGAGCCGGGAGAGCCGGGGAGCACCUGUUCUCCCAGCCAUCCCCGGGAUCCCCAGGUCCCACAGAAGGGCUGUGUCCUGGAGAGAGGUCUGCUGGGAUCACAUGACGCUCUGAAAACCAACCAUCCCGAGGGCCGCCUGCGAAUCCUGCCAGCGGUCUCACAGGUGGAGGUGUGAGUGACUGAGAGAUCAUGGGGAAGGCGGCAAAAAGUCAGGAAAUGGACAAGCAAGGGAAAAGAAUUUGCAACCCACAUCACACAGAGCUCAUCACCCUCAUAUACAAGUGGCUCCUGAAAUCAACAAGACCAGCAAUUCAGGCACUUGGAGCUUUCCCAGGAAGCCUGCAGGCAGACACCAGGACCGAUCGCUUCUUGAAGACAAACCAACCCCACUCGGUGGAAACCGCCCGCUGCAAUCGGCCUCGACUGAGGUUUCAGCCUUCUCGGCAGCACGUGGCCACCGAGCACAUCACUCCCAUGUUUCUUGUCCUCUCCUUGUUCGCAGCACUCCCACCAGGUUCUGAGGAUCAGAACUCCCAUCAGGGCUAAGGCCUAAAGACCUGGACAGGCUGCAUCUGACCGAGCAGGGUGCUCGCCUGGGCCACACACGACCUUGGCACAGAGACGCCAAGCACAGGAUGACUGGCCAAACAGCAACCUUGCUAAAAACAGCAGAUGAAACGCUGGAGAUUACACUGUCCUGGGGAGCAUGUAGAAAAGGACUCGGAUUUUGCUGGCCAGGAGCCCCUUCCAGAAGGCAGCUGCUGUGUGGAGACCGGGGGUGCGCGUACCUCUCGCCAGGACCCUGCGCUCGUGUCUGCACAAGGAUCCUCACUGUGGCAGGGAGACCACGAGCACCCAAGGGGCAACCAGCGGGAAGGGGAAUGAAACCCCAGUGCAGCCCAACUGCACGCAGCAGGUGUGCGGGGUGCGCUGGCGUGUGUAGGUGCAGACACCACGUGCAGUGGAUGGAAGGAGGUGGGUCUGAGCGCUGACACAGCACUGCCCCGACUGUGCAGCGCAGGUGCGUACGGCGUGUGAAGCACCCGCCUGUGGCGUGCCUGCAGCCACGUGGAGGGCCUUGGUGGGAGGGGGCAGGCAGAGCAGGGGUGGCUCUUGCUCUGCCCCACCUGGGCACCUGCGGCACUUCCAAGCUGCUCCAGUCCUCCUGCCCUCGGUGCUGGGUGCCCCAGCCCAGGCCCACCUUCUGUGGCCC